GAUGAACGCUGGCGGCGUGCCUAAUACAUGCAAGUCGAGCGAACGGACGAGAGGCUUGCUUCUCUGAUGUUAGCGGCGGACGGGUGAGUAACACGUGGAUAACCUACCUAUAAGACUGGGAUAACUUCGGGAAACCGGAGCUAAUACCGGAUAAUAUUUUGAACCGCAUGGUUCAAAAGUGAAAGACGGUCUUGCCGUCACUUAUAGAUGGAUCCGCGCUGCAUUAGCUAGUUGGUAAGGUAACGGCUUACCAAGGCAACGAUGCAUAGCCGACCUGAGAGGGUGAUCGGCCACACUGGAACUGAGACACGGUCCAGACUCCUACGGGAGGCAGCAGUAGGGAAUCUUCCGCAAUGGGCGAAAGCCUGACGGAGCAACGCCGCGUGAGUGAUGAAGGUCUUCGGAUCGUAAAACUCUGUUAUUAGGGAAGAACAUAUGUGUAAGUAACUGUGCACAUCUUGACGGUACCUAAUCAGAAAGCCACGGCUAACUACGUG
rnacentral:rRNA from 1 species